rnacentral:tRNA from 1 species
GCCCGUUUGGCUCAGCGGUUAGAGCGUUGGCCCUCAGAAUGAAGGGUCGCAGGUUCAAUUCCGGUCAAGGGCA